GCCUUUUGAUCAGCGCAAAGAGUGUAUUGUGACUCUAGGUGGGCAAAACAGGAAUGCAGAGCCAUAAGUCGAUGCCAUGAUGCCCUCCUUUCUCUGUUUGGCAAGCUCUGUUGACCUUGAGGUGGCUCCCACGCUUGCAGAGGGCCUAUGGGCUUGGUGUCCGUUGUCCCUUGUGCUCACUGGGCUUUCCAAGGGUGUUCCUCUUACUUGACACCACCUUUCCCACUCUCUAUUUCCAAGCAGGAGCUCCCCUUGGCCUCCGCGUCUCGCUCUGGCCAGGCAGAUGUGGUGUGCCAACGGAUCAAAGCCUUCAGAAUCCAACCAAAGGAAAUGAGGAGAGAGGCUGCCCUGGUGACCCAACCGCAGACUGCUGUGUGUUGACCAAGGGUGAUGCCAGAAGAAGAGGUGGGCUCCAAAAGAGGCUGCUGGAUUGGAGUCUCCACCGCCACAUGGUUCUGUCAUUCCUGAUAUCCCCACUUUGCAGCGUUGGACCUCCCUGGACACUUGGAAAGGGGUGAGUGAUUCAUUCAUCCUUACCAGAAGGUGAUCUCUGCUGGUCUUGUCUUGUUUCCAACAGGUGGCAGUGGAGAUUUACAUCCCUCCCGAGCGGUGCAAGGACUCUGCUGAGGCUCUUGGUGGACACAGCAGGAACCCACAGCCAG
ensembl:lncRNA